rnacentral:lncRNA from 1 species
GUCUGAGGCAGCCGCCCUCGCGCUGUGCAAUUUCUGGUCUUUCGUUGCUUCUGGUCCAGGCUAAUAAAGUUUUUCUUUCUUUAAUUUUUUUUCUUCUAGUUUUAACGGGAGAAAUUAACUCCCCGGGGCCGCCGGGUUGACUGCGCUGCCUGGGCCGGAGGUCUUCUCCGGCCAGGGAGCGCUGUGGGAAGGGGCUCGAGCGGCCAGGGCCAGGCGAGGCCGGGGGGGCGGGGGGUUAGGGGACCGCGGGGCUACUCUUGGGAGCGCCCCUGUCCGGCUGGCUGCGCGCCGGUUUUAAAUAGCAUCUUUCGGACUUGUCUUCGCGGCCCCAGUCCCCGACCUCGGCGCUGCCUGGGCUCCUGCAGCCUCUCCCUAAGUCUUCUCCAAACGACCACCUCACGGAUUCCUUAUGGAUCGCAGCUCCAAGAGGAGGCAGGUGAAGCCUUUGGCAGCUUCUCUGCUGGAAGCUCUUGAUUAUGAUAGUUCAGAUGACAGUGAUUUUAAAGUUGGAGAUGCCUCAGAUUCUGAAGGGAGUGGUAAUGGAAGUGAAGAUGCUUCAAAGGACAGUGGAGAAGGUUCCUGUAGUGAUUCUGAAGAAAAUAUUUUAGAAGAAGAACUGAAUGAAGAUAUUAAAGUAAAAGAAGAACAACUUAAAAAUUCUGCAGAGGAAGAAGUACUAUCAUCAGAAAAACAAUUAAUUAAAAUGGAAAAGAAGGAAGAAGAAGAAAAUGG